rnacentral:rRNA from 1 species
AGAGUUUGAUCAUGGCUCAGGAUGAACGCUGGCGGUAUGCCUUACACAUGCAAGUCGUACGAGAGUUUUUAAUUCAAGUGGCGGACGGGUGAGUAACACGUAAGAAUUUGCCUUUAGGAGGGGGACAACAACUGGAAACGGUUGCUAAUACCCCAUAUGCUUUCGAGUAAAAUGGAUUUUUCCGCCUAAAGAGAAGCUUGCGGCUGAUUAGCUUGUUGGUGGGGUAAUGGCUCACCAAGGCGACGAUCAGUAUCUGGUUUGAGAGGGCGAUCAGACACACUGGAACUGAGACACGGUCCAGACUCCUACGGGAGGCAGCAGUGGGGAAUUUUCCGCAAUGGGCGAAAGCCUGACGGAGCAAUACCGCGUGAGGGAUGACGGCCUAUGGGUUGUAAACCUCUUUUUUCAGGGAGGAAUCAAUGACGGUACCGAAGAAUAAGCU